GUGGGGAAUAUUGGACAAUGGGCGAAAGCCUGAUCCAGCCAUGCCGCGUGUGUGAAGAAGGUCUUCGGAUUGUAAAGCACUUUAAGUUGGGAGGAAGGGCAGUAAGUUAAUACCUUGCUGUUUUGACGUUACCGACAGAAUAAGCACCGGCUAACUUCGUGCCAGCAGCCGCGGUAAUACGAAGGGUGCAAGCGUUAAUCGGAAUUACUGGGCGUAAAGCGCGCGUAGGUGGUUUUGUAAGUUGGAGGUGAAAUCCCCGGGCUCAACCUGGGAACUGCCUCCAAAACUGCAUGACUAGAGUACGGUAAAGGGUAGUGGAAUUUCCUGUGUAGCGGUGAAAUGCGUAGAUAUAGGAAGGAACACCAGUGGCGAAGGCGACUACCUGGACUGAUACUGACACUGAGGUGCGAAAGCGUGGGGAGCAAACAGGAUUAGAUACCCCUGUAGUCC
rnacentral:rRNA from 1 species